CACACACACACACACACACACACACACACACACACACACACACAAACAAACCAAAGGCACUUUUAAGAGCCACGUCUGUCUUGUUAACCUGUACUUGUCUCUCUCUCUCUUUCUGUUUACAUCUCUAGUUGUCGUAUCUGUCCUUCUUUGUUGUGAGUCUUUCUGUCUGUUUGUGUUUCUGCCCAUCACCAUGAGUGAUUCAGAUCUCCAAGAACAGUUUAUGAAGCUGGAUAACCUGGUUGAUCAUCAAGAACUCAAUGAUGAACUCCGAAGUCUUGAUGACUUGCUCGGUGAGCUGCAGGAAGAGGAGGAAGCAGCACCAGUAAAGACACCUGAACCAAGGGUGCUUUGGAGAAAGAGAGACAUUGAUGGAAACAUUGUCUAUGCAAGGCCAAGAUCAAGCAGGAAUCAGUCAAAUAAGGCUGAUCACAUUCAGAAAACCGAUCCUCCCAUCAAUGCUCCUGACACUAACUGUGAGGUGACCUUUGCUCCAGAGACUGUUGAGUGUUUUCUGCAAGAUCUCCAGCACUCACUGAACGAUAUCUCGACAAAGUCUCUUCUCAGAGAGGUGGAGGGCAGAGAGACCCCGUCUGGUGAACACCGCUGCGGCACAACAAAAUGUGGCAACACGCAUCUGCCAACAGUGUGAGAGCAAUCCAGCUGCUGUCCGGUGUUGUGACUGUUGACCACGCCCCUUUUACUGUGUCGACCACGCCCCUUCUACUGUGCUGAAUGUGAUCAGCACACCAGACAUGUUCUCCAUAACCGAGAUGCCACGACUCCUGGACUCUACCAGCCACUGCCUCCAACAACUUUUGUUGUAGAUAAGGCUCUUUCCCAUUGUGCUAAG